rnacentral:lncRNA from 1 species
GGGGGUCCCUGGGGCUUUGUAGCAUGAGUGCACAGUGCUGAUGGAUCAGCGGGUCGGUGAAUGUUUAUGAAACACCAUCCGUUCGCUCAUCUUGUUUAUUCAUACGUGGCAGUCAUUGGUUCUAGGGUCUGUGGGCGACACAAAGGGACUAUAAUGCAUGGUCCUUACAGUGGCGGACAUCUGAUGCUUUGUGAACCCCCGUCCCCUCCUCUGACCACAGCACCAGGUGCCCUUAGAGGGCCCCCCUCACUCCUGUUCAGGGGGUUGGGUGGGGGAGGGCCACAGUUAGAGGUGUUCAGAGGUGGGUCGGCCCUGGGCCUUGGGUGGACACUUUCUUCCCUCUGGGCUUGUACAGGUGGAUGGAUGCGACGGCCUGGAGAUGCCGAGGGCUGUCCUGCCAGCUCGUGGGGAGACCCCGUCCACCAGCAGCGUGGAAGCAGCAGGGCCAGGAGAUGGAGAAUCCAGAGAGAUUUCUUCACCUACAGGACCCAGCUGGGCAUGUCUCUGGACUUCUCAGGGUCAUGAGGAAUCGAUGAGUCCACCGAGUAAGCGGCUGCAUUAACAGGUAUGAUAUUACACACGCCUGGUCCCGGCGACAUGAUGGGGGAGGGAAGGGGCACGUUGGGAGAAAACACCAGUGGGGGAGCACCUCUAGGCUGAGCAAACGACUGCGUGUGGCUGUCUCCACCUCUGCUGCUCUCUGGACCCUGGGCAUCACUGUCCCUGUGCCUGCAGGCUUGUGAAUGACAACCACCUAUCCCUGAGGUCUGGGACACUGGAGUCCACACCCCAUGGCAAUUUCACUUAAAAAAGAAAUCAUUGUGUCUUGGGGGCUCCUAUGUGGCUCCCCCCGCCUUUUUUUUUUAAUAAAGGUUGUUACUUUUUUAAUCGUGGUAAAACA